CUGUUUGUUCAUCUCCUGGCCUAGCCCUGAAAAGAAUGAGAGAGUCCGCCAGAUGCGCCCCGUGUGUGACUGCCAGGCUCACCUGCUCUGGAACCGGCCUCGGUUUGGAGAGAUCAAUGACCAGGACAGAACUGAUCGAUACGUCCAGGCUCUGAGGACCGUGCUGAAGCCAGACAGCGUGUGCCUGUGUGUCAGCGAUGGCAGCCUGCUCUCCGUGCUGGCCCAUCACCUGGGGGUGGAGCAGGUGUUUACAGUCGAGAGCUCAGCAGCUUCUCACAAACUGUUGAGAAAAAUCUUCAAGGCUAACCACUUGGAAGAUAAAAUUAACAUCAUAGAGAAACGGCCGGAAUUAUUAACAAAUGAGGACCUGCAGGGCAGAAAGGU
rnacentral:sRNA from 1 species